rnacentral:rRNA from 1 species
UACGGGGGGGGCAAGCGUUGUUCGGAAUUACUGGGCGUAAAGGGCUCGUAGGUGGCCAACUAAGUCAUACGUGAAAUCCCUCAGCUUAACUGGGGAACUGCGUCUGAUACUGGAUGGCUUGAGUUUGGGAGAGGGAUGCGGAAUUCCAGGUGUAGCGGUGAAAUGCGUAGAUAUCCGGAGGAACACCAGUGGCGAAAGCGGCCACCUGGACUGCACCUGACGCUGACACGCGAAAGCUAGGGGAGCGAACGGG